rnacentral:rRNA from 1 species
UACGUAGGGGGCUAGCGUUGUCCGGAUUUAUUGGGCGUAAAGAGCGUGUAGGCGGCCAGAUAGGUCCUCUGUGAAAACUCGAGGCUUAACCUCGAGAUGUCGGUGGAAACCAUUUGGCUAGAGUCCGGAAGAGGAGAGUGGAAUUCCUGGUGUAGCGGUGAAAUGCGCAGAUAUCAGGAGGAACACCCGUGGCGAAAGCGGCUCUCUGGGACGGUACUGACGCUGAGACGCGAAAGCGUGGGGAGCGAACAGG